UUAAAACCCUAAUGCUGACUUAAUGGAAAAGUUCAGUUUAGGGUUUAAUACCCUAAUGUUGACUGAAUGAAAAAAGUUCAGUUUAGGGUUUAAAACCCUAAUGCUGACUAAAUGGAAAAAGUUCAGUUUAGGGUUUUAAAACCCCUAAUGCUGACUGAAGGAAAGAGUUCAGUUUAGGGUUUAAAACCCCUAAUGCUGACUGAAGGAAAGAGUUCAGUUUAGGGUUUAAAACCCUAAUGCUGACUGAAUGGAAAAUUUCAGUUUACGGUUUAAAACCCUAAUGCUGACUGAAAGGAAAAAGUUCAGUUUAGGGUUUAAAACCCUAAUGCUGACUGAUAGAGUUCAGUUUAGGGUUUAAAACCCUAAUGCUGACUGAAAGAGUUUAGUUUAGGGUUUAAAACCCUAAUGCUGACAGAAGGAAAAGUUCAGUUUAGGGUUUAAAACCCUAAUGCUGACUAAAUGGAAAAGUUCAGUUUAGGGUUUAAAACCCUAAUGUUGACUGGCUGGGGACAAAGUUCGAGAAUACUAACUGACCU
rnacentral:lncRNA from 1 species